UACUCCUACGGGAGGCAGCAGUGGGGAAUUUUGGACAAUGGGCGAAAGCCUGAUCCAGCAAUGCCGCGUGUGUGAAGAAGGCCUUCGGGUUGUAAAGCACUUUUGUCCGGAAAGAAAUCCUUGACUCUAAUACAGUCGGGGGAUGACGGUACCGGAAGAAUAAGCACCGGCUAACUACGUGCCAGCAGCCGCGGUAAUACGUAGGGUGCAAGCGUUAAUCGGAAUUACUGGGCGUAAAGCGUGCGCAGGCGGUUUGCUAAGACCGAUGUGAAAUCCCCGGGCUCAACCUGGGAACUGCAUUGGUGACUGGCAGGCUAGAGUAUGGCAGAGGGGGGGGUAGAAUUCCACGUGUAGCAGUGAAAUGCGUAGAGAUGUGGAGGAAUACCGAUGGCGAAGGCAGCCCCCUGGGCCAAUACUGACGCUCAUGCACGAAAGCGUGGGGAGCAAACAGGAUUAGAUACCCUGGUAGUCCACGCCCUAAACGAUGUCAACUAGUUGUUGGGGAUUCAUUUCCUUAGUAACGUAGCUAACGCGUGAAGUUGACCGCCUGGGGAGUACGGUCGCAAGAUUAAAACUCAAAGGAAUUGACGGA
rnacentral:rRNA from 1 species